ACCAAAGGGAGAAGAUGAGAAAGACAUGCAAAAACAGAGACAAGAGAAAUGAAGAAAUGGUCAGAAAAAAAGGGAGAGCAGGACAAAUUCAGUGAAAGAAAAAAGUAACACAAGACAGAAGUCCACAAACAACAUGUAGCAGCAAGCAGAUCCAUAUAAGAGAUACGCCAAACAAGAUGCAACUCCAGAUGUCUAGACAUCAUUGCUGUGUGAAGACUGCUGAAGAGAAGUUACAAGUAGGACUUUCUUAGAAAAAUAAGGAUGGACAAAAGGGUGGAAACAAGAGAUGUAGAGGGCCCCAUGUCUGUGUUUGCCUUGGGCCCCAAAAUGACUAAAUCCGCCCCUGACUACACUCCUCAGCGGCAGAAUCAACGUCACAGAUGUAGAUUGCAUAGAAACUGAAAACGGAGAAAUGAGAGCUGCAACAAAAUGCGUACCUAGAGAGCAGCGAAUCGUACAAGCGUACUGAAGGGUCAAAAUGCGUGCAGAGUACGCAAAAUUUUAACAGUAAAGGGAGUCGUUUGUUGACGUUAGCGGACUCCAUUUCUUUAUAGUUUAUAUUAGGAGGAUGUGACUCACCAGUGAAUUAAUCUUUUGCUGGUGACAGACCGCAGCGUCCCGCUCUUGCCAUAUGUAAACGCCCCAGCACUAUCGGGAAACUUCACCCCUCCAGGGAGAGCACUCUCACCUGCACACAGAAAACACACCUUAUGUUUUUACUACUAAUGAUUCUUACUCCACUGCAUUCAUCUGACAGCUUUAGUUACUAGUUACUUUACACUAAGAUUUCUGCACACAAAACACAUGUA